GCCCCCCGCCCCACCUCCCCGCGCGGCGCGAGGCCCCUCACUGCCCUCAGCCCCUCACUGCCCUCAGCCCCUCACUGCCCUCAGCUCCGCGCCCCCUCGCCACCUCCCUCCUUGCACUCUCUACUGGUUGCGCUUUCCCAUCCGUUAGGCUCCAGCUCUGGGAAUCAUGUUUCCUCCUGUGGUGGCGGGAUUUGGGGGGCGUGUGGCACAUUCCUGGUGUCGGGGGUUGCCGGGGCUCGGCUCUCCCGUCCCAGGAGACAGGUGAAACCCUCAGUUUGUUGGGUAGCGAAGGCAGGUAGCUCAGGAAGGAGAGUUCACGCUUGUCUCAAGCAGCCACCUGCCGCCCUGGGGACCUGGAGCAGUGGCCCAGGAGGUUGUGGUUACUGAGAGUACCGAUGCUGAUCCAUCUGAUCUGAGCCUUUUCUCUGAACAACUUCCAUAGGACAGUGCAGGACCUGCAGAGUUGUUGUGGCUUUUUGGCAUUAUCCUGGACUUGAAGAGCUUGCUUUUCUCCCAAAUUUCUGGAAAUUUUGAUCUCGUGCACCUUCUUCAUUAGACCAAUGCCAUGAAGUUUUAAUUCUGUCAAUCUGUCUUGUGGCAUUUUGCAUUUUACAUUGUUUACUGUAUCAGAUUGCUUAUUUCAUAAGCUUAGUGCUGGAUUGUGUGACUUAAUUGGGCAAAUAACUUAUUCUCUUUCAUCAAAAAGUGAUUCUGGAUCUCCAAGCGUGGAUAACCUCUUUCAUUUUGGAUUGUACUAAAAUCUAAUCUUACUGAUUAUUCAACCCAUCUAUAUGAUUUUGAUCAUAUUGAUGUUAUCUCCCUGAAAGAAAUAAAUGCCACACUUUUUCCUUUUC